rnacentral:tRNA from 2 species
GCUCGAUUGGUCAAGUGGUAAGACGCUUCUCUCACACAGAAGAGAUCAUCAGUUCGAACCUGGUAUUGAGCA